CAGGCGCUGGAGCGCGCGCUGGCGAGGGCCGGAAGCGGGGCGCGAGAGACUAAGGCCGCAGGAGACCCGGAAGUGCCGCGGGGCCCGGCGGGGCGGGCGGUUCAGGGCGCCCACGCCCGCCCCUCAUUCCACUCCUCCCGGCGCGCGGGCCGCCUCACCGUGGCCUUGGCCGUGAGCACCAGCGCCUCCUGGUUGAUGCUGGACACCUCGGGGGAGCUCUUCAUGAUGACCCGGAUGCGGGACAGAGGCAGCGACACGAGCCGCUGCUCCCCGCACUUGUCCUUGCCCACGGCCACGUCCGCCAUCUUUCCGCUGCCGCGCAACUCGGCGGCCUGCGCGGGCCAGCACCCCGCUGCCCCCUGGAAGUUGUAGUCUCUGGGAGUUGUAGUCGGAGCGGGCGGCCCAUGAUGCCCCGCGCGCCGCGCCUGCGCAGAGCUGCCGCGCCGUCCCGUGCGCCGGGGUGCCUAGCGCCUGCUGUGCACAGGGGCUGAGGUGCCUGCGGGAGGCGUCGCCUACUGGCCACGUGGUACAGGGAAGACGGCGCAUGUGCACGUGCACUUGCUGUCUGGUAGGCAGCACCUAAGGGAAGACGAAGUCAUGUAGGACACCGAGGAGCUGUCCCGGGAAACAGGCGCAGAGGCCCUGAGGUCCGCCGGGAUUAGCCUCCUAGGAAAGGUCAAGGAGAGACCACUGUGGGGAGCUGGGAGCUGCGUCCGCGUGGAGUGUAUUCCAAAAACAACAGGUGGUGGUGGAAGAAGAAACGAUGAGCCGUGUCUCAAGUUUUAAAAAGAUCCCUCUGGUCACUGAUUGUGAACCGGUGGGAGCAUAGGGUGGAAGCAGAAGACCAGUAGAAGAGCAUUACUACCACGCAGGCAAGAGAUCAGGAGCCAGUGUGUCUGUGGCGGACCCGGCUAAAAAAAAGGGCAGGAGGUAGCGGCGCCAGAUCAGGUCGCACCCGGACACGGUAGAAUUCUGUUUGGGGAGGCCCUUGGAAGAGUAAGGUGGAAGGAUCAUCAGAAGUGGUAGGAAUCGAGAUCUGAUAUUAAGAACAGCCACAACACUUGCGGACGUGAUGUGGAAUGAGUGAAAGAAUGGUGGGUCCAUUUACUCAGGAACCCAUGGGCGGAGCAAAUUUGUCAGUGGUUUGGCCUGAAGCAUAUCAAGUUUUAGUGCCUUCUUUGCCAUUGUGACCUCAAGUUCUGGCCCAGAUAAGAAGUGUCAGAGAGGAUCCCCACAUCCAGUGGUAAGCACUACAAGGAAAACAAAAGGAGCCAGCCAUGCAAAAAGCUAGGAAAAAAUGAGUUUUCUGAACGAGACAGCCUGGAGAACACCCCAGGAGAAAGAUGCCUUGGCAAUUUGAGGAACAGGCCAGUGUCAAGGGAGCUCAUUGAGUGAGGAAGAAAGCAUGAGAGAUGUGAGCAAGGCAGGUGGGUCAGCUCAGGCAGCUGGGUGAGCUUGGCUUUCAUUCUGAGAGCAGUGGAAACCACCAAGAGGUGUGAAGAAAGGGAGCAGAUCCAUUUUAGAAGCCUAAGUGGUAAUGACUGAAUGACACUGUACCCCACACAUAGCCAGCUUUCUGGGUUUCCACCUCAGGGUUCAGCUCUUGGCAGAGGAGCUUCUUUCCUCUAAGUGGGGAAGCCCUGGACCUUCACAAAAGACAUAGAGAACUGCUCAACAGAUAACAAGAUACACAGUAAGGCCCUUUGCUUCACACAAGAAAUAAGCAAACAUGCUGACUUAUUUUUAAGUUUCUAAAUGUGUUGUUCCUUGGUUAUUUUUUGUAUGACUUGUUUUUUUCGUGUGUUUGAGGGUAGGAUGGAUUAAGAUGAGGAAAGAAAACAGGAAGAAAGUGUCUGGAGACAAGAUAACUAAAAGAACUCAAGUAGAGGGAUGAGAAGUUCAGGUUUAGAGGUGACAGGUAAUAUUCACAGGCAUUAAUCAUUUGGGAACCAGAGAGAGGAGCAAAGAUGGACAAGAAGGGACCAAGCCAACAUUUAAAAGAAAGAAAUGAACUUCAAACCUAAGAGGAUAGAAGUGGACUGCAAUGCUUGGCAACAUCCCUGCACUGGAGAGUCACACGAGUUGGUCAUCUGUUGAUAGCUCUGCGUUCUGCUAGCUCCUGUCUCUCCACCUCCCAGAGAGAUAACACCAGUUCCUGUGAUGUUCAGGGUGACCAUACAUGUCCCAAUUUGAGAGUCACACCAUAAGUUCCGAGGGGUUUUGAGCAAAGAUAUGGCCUCUUCUGCAAGAAGUAUGCUCUGUUUGACCAACAACUUCAUGGUUGCCGCUGGGCAUUGGCAGAAGCCAAAUGCCAGAAUAUGAGACUGAACUGAGCAUUGAGCAGAACUCAGCAUGAUCUGAACCACUGAGCCACACACCAUACCCCAUCAUCAAUGGGAAAAUCAGCCUUGAUUGAGCAGGUCCCAGGAGCACAAAGUUCCACAAGCGUGUGGCUCAGACUCUACAGCACCUCUUCCCAUUCCAUCCCCUUAAAACUCUGGACCUGCUAGGGAUUCUCUCUGGGCAGUAAAGUGAGGAAGAAAAAUGCAGACCUGGUUAACAGGCUGUUUCGUAAAUAUGCUGGCAAGGGACGUGCUAUGACCUAACUCCUCCAGAGCAUGCCUGAAGUGGAGGUGGAAGGAAAUCCCCCCAGGUGAGGUGGAAGGGAAGCUAGGGUACAGUUUCAACUCAGGGACAAGAGCUAACAGUCCGUUAAAGGUCCAGGAACUUGGAAAGAACAAGUUUGAAGACUUAAAAGACAAGGAGUCUUGCAACAGGACACCUUCACAAGAGCUCUUUGAAGAAGUGGCAAGACCCUGUUUAGGAGCGUCAGCCUUUCCAGCCCCUCUCGGGUGCCAUGCCAGUGCUUGUUCUGUCAUGCUUACAUACUGAGUGGCUGUGGCCACUUCUGGAGCUAUAGAAGCCAAAUCAGGAAUUGCUGCAACAAGGAUAUCAGCAAAGACUCUGGGCCUUUUCAUCCUUUUGCUUUGUGUUUUUGGCAUGUUGGUUUUAAGCCUCAUGGUUCCAAAAUGACUGCUGCUCUUCCAGACUUUGUGAAUACAUUAGGAGCGAGAGGAAAAGGCAAUAGCAAAAGACUUUCCUCAUUGGACCUCAAAGUUUUGUCUUUUUCCUGAGGAAGGGACAAUUUCUCUUAGUAGUUUUACACACCUUAUUUGUAAGAAUCGGGUCAUCAGCUCACCCUGAUUCCAGUCACUGGCCAAAGGGAAUGAGAUUCCCCUGGAGCUGGCUUAUACCAGUCAAGAUUUAUCCCUUGAGCUGGCCAUCAAAGGAUAUCUGGUCCCUAUUGAGAGAGGUGUGCAGCAGGGUUAAGGCAGGGAUGUCAAAGCAAUAGCUGAUUACUUGCUAAAGUUGCCGGCAUUUAAAACUUCAGAGAUUUCACUUAUAAAUUCAAAUUGAGGUGUGGGAAAGGAUGGGCUUAGCAUCUGCUCCCUAGCAUUGUCGAGGUGCUUCUGUGAACUCUUGCCUGUUAAAGCCCCAGACACAGGACUUAAGGAAUGACUAGGGAGAUUGGAAUGCACGGAAUGGACAGAGGAAGGAAGACUUCAAGAGCUGAACCCACAGCUUACUAUGCAUUUCUUGGCUGGAAGUGCUUAUAAAUAUUUAAUAAUAAUGCUUAUUUAACUCAUAGAAUAUGAUUAUAUAAAUUGUAAAAAUAAAAUUAUGCCAGGCUAUCAAAUUAAUGGCCUAAAUACAGAGAUAAUGAGGAGUAGUAGAGCCCUCUGUCAUGAUGACUGCCAACAGGCAGGCACUUGAGACCACUGCAGGUCUUCAUGUUGGUUGGGGGCACCUGGCAGCUAGGAGGAGUGGGGAAGCAGCAGUGUGGGCCCAGGGGAGAGGUCAGUGGGAGCCAGACUCCACAGAACCUUGGGACCAGGGUGGCUUAGUGGGACAGCUGCAGGAGAGCAGCAAGUGUUGACAGGGUUCUUAACAUGUACACUAUUGUACACAGCUCCUCGAGGUUGAGGCAGGAGGAUCACAACUGAGGCCAGCAUAGGCAAUUUAGCAAGCCCCUCUCAGGGGUAGUGUACUUAACUUGCGUGCAUGAGGCCCUGGGGUUGAUACCAAAAAAAAAUUUAAUAUGAUAAACUACAUAGAACAUAAAAUUUACCAUUUUAGCUAUUUUUGAAUGUUGGGUUGGGGGUGAUACCAGGGAUUGAACCCUUGACCUUGAGUUUACUGGGCAGGCGCUCCGCCUCUGAGAUAUGACCCCGUUUGAACCUCUGAAGUGUAUAGUUCAGAGACACUGAGUGCGUUCACACCGUCAUCCAAGAUUGCCACCAUGCAUCUCCUCCCCAGCCGCUGCCACACCUCUAUUUUGUGUCCCUGUGAAUUCCACACCUCUUGGCAGCUGGUGGCAGUUGAGGUCACGCAGAGUUCGUCCUGUGCCUGGCUUCUUUCACUCGGCGCGUGUCCUCAGGAUCUUGUGCCGCAGCAUGGUCAGAAUCUCCCGAGGCUGGAGGCUGUGUGGCCUCCCCCUGUGUGCACAGACCAUGUCCUGCCGCCCAUUUCCCCAUCAGUCACCUCAAGGCUACUGUGUAGGGCUGCUGUGAAUGUAGAAGUACAAAUGUCUCUUAAACUGCCUGCUUGCAGCCUAUUUCUCGCGGUUGGCAGGUGUUCCCUCCCAUCUGCAGUUGCCUUCUUACUUUGUGCACAGUUUCUUUCAUAUUCAAGUUUUAAAAUGUCCUCAUCAAGUCACUCUGUCUGGUUUUCCUUUGCCUGUGCCUUUGGUGUCAUGUCCAAAAAACAUUUCUGAUGACAGUGUUGUGAAGCUUCAGCCCUACAUUUUUUUUUUCAGUUUUUUAAAAAAUAUAUGUUUUUAGUUGGACCUUUUUUUGUAUGUGGUGCUGAGAAUCAAACCCAUUGCCUCACACAUGCUAGGCAAGUGCUCUGCCACUGAGCCACCUCAGCCCUACCCCAUGUUUUCUUCUAAGAGUUUUUAAAAUAUUAGGACUCACACUUAGCUCUUCCAUCCAUUUUGACCUAAUAUUUGCAUAUGGUUUAAGGCAAGAGUUCAGCUUCAUUCUUUUGCAUGUGGAUAUCCAGUUUUCUCAAACUGAAAAGACUGUCCUUUCCCCAUUGAGUGGCCCUGGUACCCUUAGGGGCUGGGGAGAUAGCUCAGUCGGUAGAGUGCUUGCCUUGCAUGCACAAGGUCCUGGGUUCGAUCCCCAGCACUGCAAAAAAAAAUAAUAAUAAUUUGAGCCAGGGCAGCACACACUUAUAGUCCCAGUAUGUCA